GGAUAACUGUGGUAAUUCUAGAGCUAAUACAUGCACCUAUGUUCUGACCUCACGGAAAGAAUGCACUUAUUAGAACAAAACCAAGCGACUUCGGUCGGCUUUUGUUGACUCAUGAUAACUCAGCUGAUCGCAUGGUCUUGUACCAGCGACGUGUCAUUCAAGUAUCUGCCUUAUCAACUUUCGACGGUAGUGUAGCCGACUACCGUGGUGGUGACGGGUAACGGAGGAUAAGGGUUUGACUCCGGAGAAGGGGCCUGAGAAAUGGCCACUACGUCUAAGGAUGGCAGCAGGCGCGCAAAUUACCCACUCUCAGAACGAGGAGGUAGUGACGAGAAAUAACGAGACCGUUCUCUACGAGGCCGGUCAUCGGAAUGGGUACAAUCUAAACCCUUUAACGAGUAUCUAUGAGAGGGCAAGUCUGGUGCCAGCAGCCGCGGUAAUUCCAGCUCUCAAAAUGCAUAGAAUCAUUGCUGCGGUUAAAAAGCUCGUAGUUGGAUUUGUGCUAUGGACUCGGUCCACUUUCGGGUGCGUACUGUGCUCCUCGGCUUUUCUGCUGGUUUUCUCGUCGUGGCUUUAAUCGGCUGCGGCGGGUGGCUGGUGAUUUUACUUUGAACAAAUCAGAGUGCUCMAAACAAGCGUUUCGCUUGAAUGUUCUUGCAUGGAAUAAUAGAAGAGGAUUUCGGUUCUAUUUUAUUGGUUUUAUAGACCGAUAUAAUGGUUAAGAGAGACAAACGGGGGCAUUUGUAUCGCUGCGUGAGAGGUGAAAUUCUUGGACCGCAGCGAGACRAACUACMGCGAAAGCAUUUGCCAAGAAUGUCUUCAUUAAUCAAGAACGAAAGUCAGAGGUUCGAAGGCGAUCAGAUACCGCCCUAGUUCUGACCGUAAACGAUGCCAACUAGCGAUCUGCCGGCGGAUUUUUUGCCCUGGUAGGGAGCUCCCCGGAAACGAAAGUUUUCCGGUUCCGGGGGAAGUAUGGUUGCAAAGCUGAAACUUAAAGGAAUUGACGGAAGGGCACCACCAGGAGUGGAGCCUGCGGCUUAAUUUGACUCAACACGGGGAAACUCACCCGGCCCGGACACCGUAAGGAUUGACAGAUUGAUAGCUUUUUCAUGAUUUGGUGGAUGGUGGUGCAUGGCCGUUCUUAGUUCGUGGAGCGAUUUGUCUGGUUUAUUCCGAUAACGAGCGAGACUCGAGCCU
rnacentral:rRNA from 1 species